GCAGCCUUCCUGGCAUGUGAUUGGUCGAAAGUAGGUCACUGUCGGGCUUUGGCUGCAUCCCAUUGGUUCGAUUGAAGACGCUUGCUCCGCCCCCUUGUGCUCCCUCUAUCGCUAGGGCCGCGUGAGAUUCCAGUGAAACACCACAGCCUUAGGUGAAAGCCAGAAGAUUAGCGCGCACAGAUCCUACAAAGCUCUGCAGAAGUCUCCAAAGUUCUCCGUUUGGUGGCUGCAGCACCUCGAAGAACAGACGGCUGUGUGCCUCUGCUACGGCAACCCUGCAGGCAUUCUCCUCCCCGCCUCUAAUGGCGUAUGGCACUGCAAAGGGCAUGUGCCAGAACAUGUGAGUGGGGAAAAACAGUUCCAGAAAGACAAGGCAGCAGCACUGCAAGUGCCAGGUGCAUGCCACCUGGUCCAUUUUGUAUAUAUUCUAAACUUGAUAUACGCCCGCUUUUGCCAGGCCUUUCUUCGUCAUAAGGCAGAGCAUAAACGGGGUGAAGUUCUGUACUUUAAAAAUAAUAUUAAAAAGUGUCUUUGGUGACUUUCAGAGUUUAUUAUUUAUUUUUUUUAUUGGUUUUUGGUGCGAUUUUCUAAUUUUUGCUGUUGCAGAAAACAAAACCAAAAAAAAAUAACGAUAGUUUAGUAUUUAUAUGCCAUAUUUUAGUUUACUGAGAUUACACUGGGACAGAGGAGCUAAGCAAAGAAUUUGAAAUGUAUACAAUAGUGUUGGGGUCCUGUGCUAUACUUGUUUAGAUUAGACAAAAAGGGGGUUAAAAAGGAACAAAACCAAAACAAAAAAAUAAAAACAAAUAAAAAUCACAUUGAUACAUAUAUUCCCCUCAUCUUAAAACGUACACACACGCCCAACCACAAAUAGUACAAAUGAUUAAAAAACUUGCACUCUGAAGAAUAAAAAAAAAAAAAAAAAAAAA